UACGGAGGGUGCAAGCGUUAUCCGGAUUCACUGGGUUUAAAGGGUGCGUAGGCGGGCAGGUAAGUCCGUGGUGAAAUCUCUGAGCUUAACUCAGAAACUGCCAUGGAUACUAUUUGUCUUGAAUAUUGUGGAGGUAAGCGGAAUACGUCAUGUAGCGGUGAAAUGCUUAGAUAUGACAUAGAACACCAAUUGCGAAGGCAGCUUACUACACAGUUAUUGACGCUGAGGCACGAAAGCGUGGGGAUCAAACAGG
rnacentral:rRNA from 1 species